CUAGCUUUCUUGGGGGUUGGAGGGAUUCCCCUACUAUCAGGUGUGCUGCCUCCCAUCCUAGUGUCCUUAGUUCGUUUAGCGCUGGUCUACUCCUUGUUCAGUUUACACCUAGUUAUCAAUUAGCAAACAUUGGCAUUUUGUACCUUUUUAAGCUAAAUUAGUUUUUUUUAAAGCAAUAUUAGACAGUAGAAACUAAUUAUCUACCAUCAAUUAUCUACUAUAGAUAGUGUUCCUUUAAGUAACUAGUAAUUUUCUCUGGGUGCAAACCCUAAUGUAAUGUGCGGAACAUGUUUAUGGUCAUGACAUAUCCCUGCCUUUCUAUGUUAUGUCCCCCUCCUCUGUACCCAUGAACAGAACAGAUGUAAUUUUCUAGUUUGUCAUUAAAGAGACACUGUAGGCACAAAAACAACUUUACUCCUGCAGUCUCACUUCUACAUCCACAGAUAAAACCGUUCUGCUACAUCCCCAGAGAACAGCAGCAUUUAUAAUUUGCUGGUUUUUUAGAGGAGGUGAGAUUAAGAGAAUUAUAGACUUAAAAUAGAAAUCUGUCAUUUCAUAUUGUCCAAUUUAAAUGGCAGACUAAUUUACUGUGUCAGGAAUAGCUCCCAUUAUUCAUUGCCAAUGCAAACCAUCAGCAUGAGACUGGCCACUGGUUGGCCAGCCUCAUGCUGAUGGUCUUAUGGCUUGACUGGUGUGCAUAUUUUUGGUUAACGUUGUAUUAACUAUUCACAGACUUCAGGUGGAAGGGGUUUUCAAUCACAUUUUUUCCCCCACCAUAACCUUUUUGGUUUUUGCUUCCCAGGCAUUACCGGCUCUCAGUGGCCAACCAGUGGCCAACCUCAUGCGGAUGGUUUGCAUUGGUAAUGAAACAGUUGUCCACAAGUGGUUCACUGACUUUGCAUCUAUUCCUAAGUUGUGUUUCAAAGCGAAUCCAUGUUUAAAAUGGAAUGAGGUAAAAAUUUGAUUCUUUGUUGAACUAAUUUGCAUAUG